GCCUACCGACAAAUGUCGUACGGGUACCGAAAUGAACAUUUUCAAAAAAAUACUAAUUAAUGAAUUCGGUCGACACGUACCCCGUUCUCGCCAGCGUACAGCGCUUGUGACGAGAAGCAAGACAAAGUAAGGUAGCGCCCUUGUAGCAAUACAUGCGGCAGGAG
rfam:Candidatus Saccharibacteria bacterium RIFCSPHIGHO2_12_FTLL_44_22 rifcsphigho2_12_scaffold_398, whole genome shotgun sequence.